rnacentral:rRNA from 1 species
GACGAACGCUGGCGGCGUGCCUAAUACAUGCAAGUAGAACGCUGAAGGAGGAGCUUGCUUCUCUGGAUGAGUUGCGAACGGGUGAGUAACGCGUAGGUAACCUGCCUGGUAGCGGGGGAUAACUAUUGGAAACGAUAGCUAAUACCGCAUAACAGUAGAUAUCGCAUGAUAUCUACCUGAAAGGUGCAAUUGCAUCACUACCAGAUGGACCUGCGUUGUAUUAGCUAGUUGGUGAGGUAACGGCUCACCAAGGCGACGAUACAUAGCCGACCUGAGAGGGUGAUCGGCCACACUGGGACUGAGACACGGCCCAGACUCCUACGGGAGGCAGCAGUAGGGAAUCUUCGGCAAUGGACGGAAGUCUGACCGAGCAACGCCGCGUGAGUGAAGAAGGUUUUCGGAUCGUAAAGCUCUGUUGUAAGAGAAGAACGAGUGUGAGAGUGGAAAGUUCACACUGUGACGGUAUCUUACCAGAAAGGGACGGCUAACUACGUG